GUUGGAGGUCUGCUGGGCUGAGAGCUGGGGAACUUCGCUCUUGGCAAGCUGGGGCUGAGACGCCUUUGGCAGGGAGCGAGGCUGGGGACAAACGUUGGCCUUGAGCGCCCGGUGCUGCCGCCUCAGGAGGUCCUCGUUCUUGGACGAUGUCAGUGGCUGAGGCUGAAGUGUCCUCGGUGAGGGAGCAUCUCCGUCCUCGAGCAGAUUUCUCACGUCCUUGUCUCCCAGCCUCGCGGGUGAUGCUGCCACACCGCAUAACCAUCCUGUGAGAAUUCCACUUCCCGCCUGGAGAACAGUUUACAGAGAUCCCCAAACUUCAAGCCCUGAGGUAGCAAACUUCCGUGGGGAAAAUACCCCUCUCCCUAACUCAGUGUAUAGAGUGAACCAAUUCAGGUAAAUUAGCCAGGAUUCCACACGCGUGGCUCCAGAAGUGACGACAGUGUCACAGUUCAUGCGGAGUAGGAUUUCUUCACCUGAGCCCUGAAGCAGCAUUGCUUGUGGGUCUUCGUCUCAGAGAAUUCCUUGUAAAAACAAACAGAAACUGCCCACUGGGCUUUGGUCCAGACAGCAUUCUCGCUGGGCCCAAAACAAGUCCACAGGUUGGUCUAGAACAGCCCCUUGGUGCCUCCUCCACCAGGCACUAGUGCAAAUCUCUGCCUGGGCCAAGCAACUCCCCUGCAGCCCUCUGAGAUCACCAGAGGUCCAAGCAUAGCUUGCUCUCAUUUUAGGGCUCAUGGGACGGAGAAAACACUUCAGAAAGGUCAUGCACAGCUUCGGAGAGUAUGAAGACGGAAAAGCACACCCCACAUCAUUGAGUGAGAAGGGAUUAACAGAGAGAAGAGCAGGCUGGAUCCAGUGUUACACCCCGCAGGACACCAGGCGUCAGCACACAUGGCCAGCACAGAGAGGUCGCAAUCACACACUCGGAAAAUCCAGGUUCUCUGGCCUUCUCCUAAAUGCUCAGCGGCCUUUGAAAAUCCUGCUGCCUUUCCUCCUUGAGGCAGACAGGAGUCCUCGUUUGAAGGCCAGAUUAGUCACCUCCUGCCUGGCCUCCCUCUGGCCUCUCCUCACAGCAGAACAGCGCCCCGCACUCUGCAUGUUCUCACACCGCACUGUUCCUAUGCUGAAACUGGCUCGGUCUCCUGCCCCGAGCCUGUGCAAGCCUACAUUUCACUCAUCCUGGCCGAUCUGGCAAAGCACAUUGCCUGGCAGGAGCAGGAGCUCAGUGAAUAUUUCUUGAAUGGAUGAACCGGCGCCACCCUUGCAAAUGGGGUCUAAGAAAAGGAAGGAAAUCCCCUGAAGAGCUAGAAAUUAAAGUUCUUAUUACUUUGUUACACACAGGUUUAUGCCUUGCUUUUUAAUUUAAAAAUAAAAAGAGCUAAAAUUGAGCACUCGCUGGGGUGCUGAGUGUUUUACGUGCAUUAUUGUGCUAAAACCCAAAACCUCCAUCUGAGGCAGAGAUUACUACCUUGUUUUACAGUCGAAUAAACAGAAACUGAGAGAGGUUAGGAAAUGUAUCCAGAUUCACAUAUGUGGUAAGUAGGAGUCUGCUUGGCUUGAAAAUCUGCUCCUUCCACUGCCUUGGUUUUCACAUAUGAAUUGCAGUCUCGGCAGUAUCCUAUAUCAUUAACCUAUUUUUAAUUAUUUUCUUGCAUAAGGGAGAAGCUUCUACACACAGCUGGACUACCUGUUACUUUGUAGGUGCACUGACAGGAACCCUUACGCUUCUGGAUGUGCAAAAUGCAGCAUUUCCGACUCACCCCAGAUGCCCGGAAGCAGACUGUACAUGCGAACAAGACUUUUAGUGGCGCAUGCUCGUUGGUGUUUGAGAAGAUACAGACCACACGUCCACGAACCACAGCUCACAGGCCAAACUCAGCCCACUCCAUCUUUUCAUGGACCAAAAGCGAAGAAUGUUGUUUUGUUUUGGUUUUUGGUUUUUUUUUUUUUUUGAGACAGAAUCUCACCAUGUAGUUCAGGCUGUCUGUAAACUCACUAUGUAGCCCAAACUGGCCUUGAACUCAUAGCGAUCCUCCUACUUCAGCCUCCUGAAUACUGUGUUUUUUGUAUUUUUAAGUGGUUAUAAUUUUUUUCCAAAAAAGAGAUACUAUUUGGUGACAUACGAAAUACUAUAUGAAAUUCACAUUUUCUAUCCAUACAUAAAGUUGUAUUGAAACAUGCUCAUUUGUUUAUUUACUGUCUGUUACGGCAGACUUGGAUAGUUACAAUAGGCUGUAUGGCCCACAGAGAUAUUUACUACCUGCUCCUCUGUAGAAACAAUAUCGCCAUCUCCUUCCUAACUCUGCCCUCCGACCAGCCAACCUCAGGUCUGUUGUUCUAAUGGAACUGUGCAAAGCAGCAGCAGCAUUUGGGAGAAUUAGGGGAGAAGGGCACUCCCACAAGAACCCGCACACAGCUGGGGGGGACCGCCCACACAGCCGAAGUCCACAUGGCAGAGGGAAUGUGGGCAAGCAGGUGGUACAGCAAGGGGACAAGCAAGAGAGGGCCCAUGCAGUGCAAAUAUGCACAGGGAACUUGAGCAUGCAGCACCUCCAGGGUGAGUGGGGAAAGCUGGCCAGACCAAGGAUGAAGAGUCCAGUGCACCACUGGCUUUGUUCUGAGACUACAACUAGUGGCAGAGUGAGGUGGUGUUCCUGUGGCUGGAUCCUGUGGCUGGAUCCUGUGGCUGGAUCAGCAGACCUUCUCAAGGUCUUCCACACUGUGAGGGUGGAAAGGAAAGGUGCUCCCAUGCCAAAGAAGAAAUCCUAACCUUGAUGUACAGAAGGAUAAGGUUCCCCAGCUAUCUGCACCUUGACCUUGAGAUAGAAACAGUAGCUGCCUGCACUGAGCAGUCACCUAGGCAGUCGCCCAACCCCACCCCCAAGUCUGAUUCCCUGGGAAUCUGUGUUGUAACAAGUAUCCCAGGUGUUUCCUCUGCUUUGAGAAACACUGCCUCCCUAAAUGUAAGAAUUCAGGCUUUCGCCAGGAGCUAGCGCAGUUUGAGUAGGUCAGGCUUCCAAGUGAUCAUGCGUCUGGGUGGAAGGUUCCUGGCUGCUGGUGUUGUGCAGGAUUUCAGGAAGAGGCAGCAGCAUUAAAGAAUUGAGAGGCUGCAUCUGCUGCUACCAAGGGAGGAGGAGGUCCCGAAAUGCAGAGGCAUCUGAGAAACUCAUGGAACGGCCAUUAGCUGAAGAGCUGAGAGUGAAGCUGAGGGUCUGAACUCAAAGGAUAUCCCCGAGUAAGAUCUGGAGCAUGUGACAGCCAAGGAAGAAAAAGACCUGCCUCUCCCUAGUGAUGUGAGGAUCUCAAGUGACGCAUGAUAGAUUAGGGAGCUCAGGGCUCGGGGUCAAUAUAGACAGAACUCAUAUGUAUGUGCUAUUUUCAGAACCUUGUUAAAUUUUAUCUCCACUCCCACCAUCCCACAAUAAAAGUAUCAAGAAGCAUGAAUACAAGGCAUUGUCUCAUGCAUCCAUAAUUCAGCUCCCUAAAAAAAAUGGUAGAUAGGAGGACAGGGUGGGAAAUUCUAGCUUGUUUUAAUCUGCUUUAGAGCUGCUGUGGAAAAGCAGUUGUUCUUCUGUUUCCUAUUCUUUUAAGGAAGUCAUGCUGAAGGCAACCUCAUUUGAAGCUCAGCAAGUGACAUCUGCCCUGUUUUGGCUUCUCAGUGAGAUGUUGACUCAGCUUUUGCACACAGCACCUUUCUGCCUUGAGACAAGAAAACAUUCCCAGGCUCUGUAAGCGAUUAUGCAGGGUUGCUAUUAGGAAUUAGUACACUUAAGUGGAUUCCCAGCCCACCCAGAAAUAUAGGUCUGACCCUCAAGGUUAGUAAGUCAGGGAGGCAGAUCCAAGGAAGGCUGACACUCCCUGCCCAGUUAUUUUCAAACCCCAGCGGCUGCUUCAGCAUGUAAUACCACUUGUGAAACUUCUCCAUACAAGGACAUCUGUGCCCUA
ensembl:lincRNA